rnacentral:rRNA from 1 species
AACGAACGCUGGCGGCAGGCCUAACACAUGCAAGUCGAACGUGAAGCCACCUUCGGGUGGUGAAAAGUGGCAGACGGGUGAGUAACGCGUGGGAACGUGCCCUUCGGUUCGGGAUAACCCAGGGAAACUUGGGCUAAUACCGGAUACGCCCUUCGGGGGAAAGAUUCAUUGCCGAAGGAUCGGCCCGCGUCGGAUUAGCUAGUUGGUGGGGUAAUGGCCCACCAAGGCGACGAUCCGUAGCUGGGCUGAGAGGAUGAUCAGCCACACUGGGACUGAGACACGGCCCAGACUCCUACGGGAGGCAGCAGUGGGGAAUAUUGGACAAUGGGCGCAAGCCUGAUCCAGCCAUGCCGCGUGGGUGAAGAAGGCCCUAGGGUUGUAAACCCCUUUCAGCGGGGAAGAUAAUGACGGUACCCGCAGAAGAAGCCCCGGCUAACUCCGUGCCAGCCGCCGCGGUAAAAC